rnacentral:misc_RNA from 1 species
UCGAAGUUACUUCCCUUUGGGUUGUAAACAGUGCGAUGAAUGCAAGUGGAUUUAACGCGAUCUCCAAACUAUUCUCUGAGUACGUCGUCACAAGACAAUGUAUGAAAUGUGCAUCAAGGAGAUAUUCUUCGUUAAGUGUUGGAGACAAAGCGGCGUUGUCAAAAACUUUUACAAAAGACGAUGUAGAAACUUUUGCAAAAAUCAGCAUGGACAACAACCCUUUGCACACCGAUCCCGACUUUGCAAAAACAACGAUAUUUGGGAAAUGUAUCGUUCACGGCGUGCUUAUCAAUGGCGUUCGUAGACGAAUCAAUCACAGCGGAAGUAGAGGUAUUGGAGAUCCGGAAGUCCAUCAUGAAGUGUUCUACCACUGCCAUCCGGACCGGAAAUAAAGAAGUCUUGGUGAAGGGCGAAGCCAAAUUAUUAAUACCCAAAGUAACCUAAAGAAGCAGAAAAAUCACAGAAGAUUUGAGAAAUGCAUUAAUGUGAUGGUAUUCAAAGUUGUUUUUAAAAACCUGUUUUUUGUUCGUUGCACUUUCAAACACUGUAAGGUGUGAAUAUAGUUUUCAAUGAAUUACUGUUUGAAGACUUGAACACCUAUGACUUGGAUUUUAUAAACCAAGUACAAAACAAAGAAACAAACAUUUUGUCGUUUUAUUAUUUACAUACCAUGAAAAUAAAACGUGUUUUAUAUAUACAAAAUAAAAUAUCCAAAUACCCG